rnacentral:rRNA from 1 species
UACGUAGGGCGCAAGCGUUGUCCGGAAUUAUUGGGCGUAAAGAGCUCGUAGGCGGUUUGUCGCGUCUGCUGUGAAAACCUCAGGCUCAACCUGGGGCUUGCAGUGGGUACGGGCAGACUAGAGUGCGGUAGGGGUGACUGGAAUUCCUGGUGUAGCGGUGGAAUGCGCAGAUAUCAGGAGGAACACCGAUGGCGAAGGCAGGUCU